rnacentral:rRNA from 1 species
UACGGAGGAUGCAAGCGUUAUCCGGAAUCAUUGGGCGUAAAGCGUCCGUAGGUGGCUGUUCAAGUCUGCGGUCAAAGCACAAGGCUUAACCUUGUAAAGGCCGUGGAAACUGAAGAAGCUAGAGUGCGGUAGGGGUAGAGGGAAUUCCCGGUGUAGCAGUGAAAUGCGUAGAGAUCGGGAGGAACAUCAGUUGCGAAGGCGGCUCUCUGGACCAGCACUGACACUGAGGCACGAAAGCGUGGGGAGCAAACAGG